rnacentral:rRNA from 1 species
ACUUGCACACAACUUAGAUGAUUUAAAUUUAAAAUAUGAGAAACUAAAUUUAUUUUUAUUUAUUUUUGCUAUCUUUAUUCAUUUUUAUAGAGUAAAGAUAAAAACAAAAACUUCGUAAAAAUAAUAAAAUAUAGUAAAAAACAAUAAAGAUAUUCUUAGAUUAAAAGAGUUAAGUCGUUUAAGUUGUGUGCAAGU